rnacentral:rRNA from 1 species
CACGGGUGAGUAACACGUAUCCAACCUGCCGUCUACUCUUGGACAGCCUUCUGAAAGGAAGAUUAAUACAAGAUGGCAUCAUGAGUCCGCAUGUUCACAUGAUUAAAGGUAUUCCGGUAGACGAUGGGGAUGCGUUCCAUUAGAUAGUAGGCGGGGUAACGGCCCACCUAGUCUUCGAUGGAUAGGGGUUCUGAGAGGAAGGUCCCCCACAUUGGUACUGAGACACGGACCAA